UACGGGGGGGGCAAGCGUUGUUCGGAAUUACUGGGCGUAAAGGGCGCGUAGCCGGCCUUCUAAGUCGGACGUGAAAUCCCUCGGCUUAACCGAGGAACUGCGUCCGAUACUGAAAGGCUUGAAUCCGGGAGAGGGAUGUGGAAUUCCAGGUGUAGCGGUGAAAUGCGUAGAUAUCUGGAGGAACACCGGUGGCGAAGGCGGCAUCCUGGACCGGCAUUGACGCUGAGGCGCGAAAGCUAGGGGAGCAAACGGG
rnacentral:rRNA from 1 species